GACAGCAGCAGCCGCGGUAAUACGAAGGGUGCGAGCGUUAAUCGGAAUUACUGGGCGUAAAGCGUGCGUAGGCGGUUUGUUAAGUCUGUUGUGAAAUCCCCGGGCUCAACCUGGGAAUGGCAAUGGAUACUGGCAAGCUAGAGUGUGUCAGAGGAUGGUGGAAUUCCCGGUGUAGCGGUGAAAUGCGUAGAGAUCGGGAGGAACAUCAGUGGCGAAGGCGGCCAUCUGGGACAACACUGACGCUGAGGCACGAAAGCGUGGGGAGCAAACAGGAUUAGAGACCCCGGUAGUCCCUGUCUCUUAUAC
rnacentral:rRNA from 1 species